UACGGGGGGGGCAAGCGUUGUUCGGAAUUACUGGGCGUAAAGGGCUCGUAGGCGGCCAACUAAGUCAGACGUGAAAUCCCUCGGCUUAACCGGGGAACUGCGUCUGAUACUGGAUGGCUUGAGUUUGGGAGAGGGAUGCGGAAUUCCAGGUGUAGCGGUGAAAUGCGUAGAUAUCUGGAGGAACACCGGUGGCGAAGGCGGCAUCCUGGACCGACACUGACGCUGAGGCGCGAAAGCGUGGGUAGCGAACAGG
rnacentral:rRNA from 1 species